AACACCUCCUGUGUCAUCUGUCUUCAUUUCUUUUGCAGGUGAAGUUGCAGGACCCCAUCCACCCCUCAGUAGAUUGUAUUCUCAUCCUUAUCUAACCUUAUUGCCUCUCACACUCUAUGUUCCAGGAUGAAAUUCCAAGACAAUGGAGGAGUGUCCCUUCAUGAUGUGGAGAACCUGCUUGGCUCGAAACUGAAUUUGAGGAAAGGUGAUUUGGAUGCUGGCCUGUCUUGAUCCACCUUCAAAUUCACUGCGGAUUUAAGAUUUACAUAAAAAUAAAGAACAUGGAGCCCCAGAACUGACCAGAGCCAC
rnacentral:lncRNA from 1 species